rnacentral:rRNA from 1 species
GACGAACGCUGGCGGCGUGCCUAAUACAUGCAAGUAGAACGCUGAAGAGAGGAGCUUGCUCUUCUUGGAUGAGUUGCGAACGGGUGAGUAACGCGUAGGUAACCUGCCUGGUAGCGGGGGAUAACUAUUGGAAACGAUAGCUAAUACCGCAUGAAAUUGCUUAUCGCAUGAUAAUUAAUUGAAAGAUGCAAUUGCAUCACUACCAGAUGGACCUGCGUUGUAUUAGCUAGUUGGUGAGGUAACGGCUCACCAAGGCGACGAUACAUAGCCGACCUGAGAGGGUGAUCGGCCACACUGGGACUGAGACACGGCCCAGACUCCUACGGGAGGCAGCAGUAGGGAAUCUUCGGCAAUGGGGGGAACCCUGACCGAGCAACGCCGCGUGAGUGAAGAAGGUUUUCGGAUCGUAAAGCUCUGUUGUAAGAGAAGAACGGGUGUGAGAGUGGAAAGUUCACACUGUGACGGUAUCUUACCAGAAAGGGACGGCUAACUACGUGCCAGCAGCCGCGGUAAUACGUAGGUCCCGAGCGUUGUCCGGAUUUAUUGGGCGUAAAGCGAGCGCAGGCGGUUAGAUAAGUCUGAAGUUAAAGGCUGUGGCUUAACCACAGUAUGCUUUGGAAACUGUUUAACUUGAGUGCAGAAGGGGAGAGUGGAAUUCCAUGUGUAGCGGUGAAAUGCGUAGAUAUAUGGAGGAACACCGGUGGCGAAAGCGGCUCUCUGGUCUGUAACUGACGCUGAGGCUCGAAAGCGUGGGGAGCAAACAGG